AAUAUAAAUUAUAAUUAUGGAUUAACCUUCCAAUAUCUUAUUAAAAAUAAAUUUAUUAUUUAUGUAUCUUAUAUAAAAUUAUAUAUUAAUUUUUUAAAUAUUAAUUAUGUUAAAAUUAGUAUAAUAUUUUUAUUAAUUUAAGGAACUCGGCUAACUAUUCACCUGUUUAUCAAAAACAUAGUCUUAUGAUAUAAGGUGAAACCUGCCCAGUGAAUAUUUUUAACGGCCGCAGUACCUUGACUGUGCUAAGGUAGCAUAAUAAAUUGACUCUUAAUUGGGGCCUUGAAUGAAAGGAUAAGUAGUUUCUGUCUCUAUUAACUUAUUACAAGUUACUUAGAAGGUGAAAAUUCCUUCAUUUUUUUAAAUAGACGAGAAGACCCUAGGAGUUUUAAUUUUGUUGGGGCGACAAUAUAGCAUAACCUAUAUAUAAAAUAAUAUAACGAAUAAUUUUAAUAAUAAUUUAACUACCCUAGGGAUAACAGCAUAAUUUAUUAAGUUUGUGACCUCGAUGUUGGA
rnacentral:rRNA from 1 species